GGGGGUAUAGCUCAGCUGGGAGAGCAGCAGACUGAAGUUCAUCAGAAAGGUGAAAUUUUCUGAAGGUCCCGCGUUCGAUCCGCGGUACCCCCA
rfam:Gymnopus luxurians FD-317 M1 unplaced genomic scaffold GYMLTscaffold_91, whole genome shotgun sequence.